UUAAGGAAUUGAACGGGGGCCCGCACAAGCGGUGGAGCAUGUGGUUUAAUUCGAUGAUACGCGAAGAACCUUACCGGGGUUUGACAUGCAGGUGAUCGCCGUUGAAAGACGGUUUCCUCUUCGGAGGCACCUGCACAGGUGCUGCAUGGCUGUCGUCAGUUCGUGCCGUGAGGUGUUUGGUUAAGUCCAGCAACGAACGCAACCCCUGUGUCCAGUUGCCAUCAGGUAACGCUGGGGACUCUGGACAGACUGCCCGUUCACGCGGGAGGAAGGUGGGGACGACGUCAAGUCAGUAUGGCCCUUACAUCCGGGGCUGCACACGUGCUACAAUGGCCGGUACAAAGGGAAGCAAUGCCGCGAGGCGGAGCCAAUCCCCAAAACCGGCCCCAGUUCGGAUCGGGGUCUGCAACCCGACCCCGUGAAGCCGGAUUUGCUAGUAACGGCGCAUCAGCUACGGCGCCGUGAAUACGUUCCCGGGCCUU
rnacentral:rRNA from 1 species